rnacentral:rRNA from 1 species
GAUGAACGCUAGCGGCAGGCUUAACACAUGCAAGUCGAGGGGCAGCAAUAGGUAGCAAUACUUAGUUGGCGACCGGCGAACGGGUGCGUAACGCGUAUGCAACCUACCUGUAACAGGGGGAUAAUCGAGAGAAAUUUUGUCUAAUACCCCGUAACACUAAGAGAGGCAUCUUUUUUAGUUGAAAGAUUAAUUGGUUAUAGAUGGGCAUGCGUAGCAUUAGUUAGAUGGUGAGGUAACGGCUCACCAUGACGGCGAUGCUUAGGGGAACUGAGAGGUUUAUCCCCCACACUGGUACUGAGACACGGACCAGACUCCUACGGGAGGCAGCAGUGAGGAAUAUUGGUCAAUGGACGGAAGUCUGAACCAGCCAUGCCGCGUGCAGGAAUACGGCUCUAUGAGUUGUAAACUGCUUUUGUAAGAGGGUAAAAGAUAGUACGAGUGCUAUAUUGAAAGUAUCUUACGAAUAAGGAUCGGCUAACUCCGUGCCAGCAGCCGCGGUAAUACGGAGGAUUCGAGCGUUAUCCGGAUUUAUUGGGUUUAAAGGGUGCGUAGGUUGUUUGAUAAGUUAGUGGUAAAAGACUAUGGCUUAACCAUAGCACGCCAUUAAGACUGUCAGACUAGAGAUUAGGUGCAGCUGGCGGAAUGUGUAGUGUAGCGGUGAAAUGCAUAGAUAUUACACAGGACACCGAUUGCGAAGGCAGCUGGCUAACCUAAGACUGACACUGAGGCACGAAAGCGUGGGGAUCAAACGGGAUUAGAUACCCCGGUAGUCCACGCUGUAAACGAUGAUAACUCGAUGUUGGUAAGUAUUUAUCAGUGUCUAAGCGAAAGCGAUAAGUUAUCCACCUGGGGAGUACGACCGCAAGGUGAAACUCAAAGGAAUUGACGGGGGCCCGCACAAGCGGAGGAACAUGUGGUUUAAUUCAAUGAUACCCAGGAACCUUACCCGGCCUUGAAGUUAGUGAAUAUUUUAAAAUAAGUUAUCCUUCGGACCAAACUA